rnacentral:rRNA from 1 species
GACAUUUGGUAGAGACUGUUGAGGCCACCUGGCCCCAGCAGACCCCAGAAAAAUGGCCACAUCCGCUGGUAUUGGAACAAGGUUGUGAAGGAUGAAGCCUGGUGCCAGAUGUGU